ensembl:lncRNA
CAGACGUCCCAUACGUAACCUGCAGUGUAUAGACCGCACAGUGCUGCACUUUUAGGCUGCAGUCAGGCUGUGAAAGUGAAAACUCGUUUCUGAGGGCCCCAUUGCGGUGCCAGUCGGGGGGUGUGCUGCUUUGCAGGAAACGGCGUGUCUAAUCGGCUUCCACUCGACUUCUCAGCACAUUUACAUUUUUACAUUUAGUCAUUUAGCAGACGCUUUUAUCCAAAGCGACUUACAAGGAUGUAUACACAUUUUACAUUUUACACUGAUGGCACACUGCACAUCAGGAGCAAUUAGGGGUUCAGUGUCUUGCUCAAGGACGCUUCGACAGGGAAUCGAACUAGCAACCUUCUGAUUACUAACCGACUUCUCUACCUCCUGUACCACUGUCGCCCAGCAGUCAGAUAAUUCAGCCUUGCCAGCGAUUUUUAAAGAUUCUACAGGCUGAGGAAAUACAAACAGGCCUGCGAUUGACACCUACUGUGUGUGUGUGUUAUCUGACGAUAGCUGGUUUCUUCUCGGAACACAGAACAUCAUCUGAUGUUGGCUGGUCCCUUCUCGGAACACAGAACAUUAUCUGAUGAUGGCUGGUUCUAGCCUUUUCUUUGAGCAGAUCUCUGAUAAGUGGCGUCAGUGUUGAACUCUGGGUGUUGUUGCCAUGACGGGUAGGUCGGAACAAGUCGAGACACAGCUCUUUAUUUACUAAGGCCUUCAGUGUAGUCGUAUCAAGUUAAAAAAAAAUCCCAGCAAACUGCUUUUGGUUUCACUGUCCUGGUUUAGCAGUGGAAUUAAGACUAGGCAGGUUGCCAUACACAUAACCACCAUUUCUGCUGUAACUGUAACUGCAAGUGCUGGUCGUCUUAAAAAAAAAAACAACAAAGAAACUACAUGUACGUGACACUCUUGAACCGACAUACGUAUUUACAUUCACAUUUAGAUAUGCACUUGCCACGUUUAGAUAUGCACAUACCACAUUGAGGUAUGCACUUACCACAUUUAGGCACUGACAUGCAUUUAGUUUUGUAGGCUACAUAGCUACAUGUGAACACACACACACACUUCAGAGACACACACACACCCCUAGCAAUCUGGUUAAUUUGCCUGAACGACUGGAAGAGAUCAGCACCAUAAAGUAAUUACACCUGCAAGUGAUGGUCCUCUUAAAUAAAAAAAAUAAAUAUAAAAUUACAGAUAGGUGAGACUUAAAGUAAAACUAUGCAACAAUUUGACACUUUUUGAGGUAUGGUUUUAUAGGAAACUAGUUUUGGUAGCAUCCUCAAAUUCAUUGUGAUGGCUAAACACCUGUGUCAGGAUUUGCCCUAUGUAGUUCUGUAUACCGGACUGGAAUACCCUGCAAAAAUGGAAAAAAGCUUUCACAGCAUAACAUUGCCAGCUAUACUGCCAAAAGACACCAGUUAGUGUGUUGGCAAGCUUAUAUCAGUGUCAACUGGGCUGUUGGUGUUGUUUGCUAGGUUUUUGCAUACCUUUUAGGCAGUUAGCUUGCUAGUUUUGGAACAGAACUCCUUAGUGCUGCUUUAAGUCAGUCUUA